GUUGGGAAUAUUGCGCAAUGGGCGAAAGCCUGACGCAGCGACACCGCGUGAAGGAAGACGUCUUUCGGGAUGUAAACUUCUUUUAUUUGAGAGGAUUAUGACAGUAUCAAAUGAAUAAGUGACGGCUAACUACGUGCCAGAAGCCUCGGUGAUACGUAGGUCACAAGCAUUAUCCGGAAUUAUUGGGCGUAAAGAGUGUUUAGGUGGUUUUGAAAGUUUCUUGUUAAAGACCCAAGCUUAACUUGGGGAGUGCGAGAAAAACUUCAUAGCUAGAGGUUAAUAGAGGUGCAUGGAAUUCUCGGUGUAGGAGUGAAAUCCGUUGAUAUCGAGAGGAACACCAAUGGCGAAGGCAAUGCACUAGAUUAAUUCUGACACUCAAACACGAAAGCAUGGGGAGCGAAAAGGAUUAGAAACCCUGGUAGUCC
rnacentral:rRNA from 1 species